rnacentral:rRNA from 1 species
UGGCGGCGUGCCUAACAAUGCAAGUCGAACGAGAAAGUGGAGCAAUCCAUGAGUAAAGUGGCGACCGGGUGAGUAACACGUGACUAACCUACCUUCGAGUGGGGGAUAACCUCGGGAAACCGAGGCUAAUACCGCAUAACAUCGCAAGAUCAAAGCAGCAAUGCGCUGGAAGAGGGGGUCGCGGCUGAUUAGCUAGUUGGCGGGGUAACGGCCCACCAAGGCGAAGAUCGGUAUCCGGCCUGAGAGGGCGCACGGACACACUGGAACUGAAACACGGUCCAGACUCCUACGGGAGGCAGCAGUGGGGAAUUUUGCGCAAUGGGGGAAACCCUGACGCAGCAACGCCGCGUGGAGGAUGAAGCCCCUUGGGGCGUAAACUCCUUUCGACCAAGACGAUAAUGACGGUACUGGUGGAAGAAGCACCGGCUAACUCUGUGCCAGCAGCCGCGGUAAUACAGAGGGUGCGAGCGUUGUUCGGAAUUAUUGGGCGUAAAGGGCGCGUAGGCGGUGCCACAAGUCACCUGUGAAAUCCCCGGGCUUAACUCGGGGCCUGCAGGCGAAACUGUGGUGCUGGAGUGUGGGAAAGGUGCGUGGAAUUCCCGGUGUAACGGUG